rfam:Ictidomys tridecemlineatus contig081502, whole genome shotgun sequence.
GGGGAUAUAGCUCAGUUGGUAGAGUGCUUGUCUUGCUAUGCGUAAGGCUCUGGGUUCAAUUCCCAGCACCACCA